rnacentral:rRNA from 1 species
AACGAACGCUGGCGGCAGGCCUAACACAUGCAAGUCGAACGAACCUGUUUACAGGUGAGUGGCGCACGGGUGCGUAACGCGUGGGAAUAUACCCUUUGGUAAGGAACAACGUUUGGAAACGAACGCUAAUACCUUAUAAUGACUUCGGUCCAAAGAUUUAUCGCCAAGGGAUUAGCCCGCGUCUGAUUAGCUAGUUGGUGAGGUAACGGCUCACCAAGGCGACGAUCAGUAGCUGGUCUGAGAGGACGACCAGCCACACUGGAACUGAGACACGGUCCAG